UCGAGCGGGGAAGGGUAGCUUGCUACCUUACCUAGCGGCGGACGGGUGAGUAAUGCUUAGGAAUCUGCCUAUUAGUGGGGGACAACAUUCCGAAAGGAAUGCUAAUACCGCAUACGCCCUACGGGGGAAAGCAGGGGAUCUUCGGACCUUGCGCUAAUAGAUGAGCCUAAGUCAGAUUAGCUAGUUGGUGGGGUAAAGGCCUACCAAGGCGACGAUCUGUAGCGGGUCUGAGAGGAUGAUCCGCCACACUGGGACUGAGACACGGCCCAGACUCCUACGGGAGGCAGCAGUGGGGAAUAUUGGACAAUGGGCGAAAGCCUGAUCCAGCCAUGCCGCGUGUGUGAAGAAGGCCUUUUGGUUGUAAAGCACUUUAAGCGAGGAGGAGGCUACUUGGAUUAAUACUCUAGGAUAGUGGACGUUACUCGCAGAAUAAGCACCGGCUAACUCUGUGCCAGCAGCCGCCGGUAAUACAGAGGGUGCGAGCGUUAAUCGGAUUUACUGGGCGUAAAGCGUGCGUAGGCGGCUUCUUAAGUCGGAUGUGAAAUCCCUGAGCUUAACUUAGGAAUUGCAU
rnacentral:rRNA from 1 species